rnacentral:tRNA from 3 species
GCUGGGGUGGCAGAGUGGACAAUUGCACCUGCCUGUAGAGCAGGCGCCUUUAGGGCUUCGGGGGUUCGAAUCCCUCCCCCAGCACCA